AAAAAAAUAUGUGUGAAAAUUUUUAAAAUUGAGGAAUACAGUUUCAAAAACAAACUACAAGUUAAAAUAAAUAAAUAUUCAGUAUUUUGAGUGCAAAUAAAUCGAAGCAAUAAAAAACAUACUGAAAAACUGUUGUGCAAAAAUGAAUGAAAACAACUUACAGCCAAUGUAUUGAGCAGUUCACCAGUGACUGCAGUAGUAAAUAUUUAUAUAUAUUGCUUUUCAUUUACAUAAAUCGAAAAGUGUAAAAAUUUCCGUCUUCACGGCAGCGUACGAUUGCCAAGGUUAAGUGCUGUGAAGUGGAGCUCUCAGAGGCUUAAGGAAAAUAUUCAGCAGUGUCGCGGAAAACUUUAACACAACUAGCGCCCAUAGAGCACAAAGGAUUUUACAGAAUUUCAUAAGCCGCGUCCAAAUUUUAAAAGUGUGAGUGCGAUUGUGUUACGAUAAAAGGUGAUGCAGACAAAAAUAACUAAUAACUAGAUAUAAAUUCGCCAGAAACCAGAAAGGUACAAGGCCAGAACGACUACUAUAAAGCAAAGCAAACUGCGCUUGUGUAAAUCAUGUCCAACGAAAAGGCGACAAAAAUCUAGAGGGAAAAUUCAUCAUAAUACACACGCCCACUUAAAAUGCACGUAUGCUUACAUAUGCGGCAAUUUCUACGGCAUUGAAAUGAUCGACUCACACAGGCUUUAGAGGUGGUAGAGGCGAGUUGCAUGUCAUCAUCACUAGUGAAACUAGUUUUGCUGCUUUCGGCGGCUUGGUGGCCGACCUACAAGAUAAUUAUUCACAACUUAUCGGUACGACAUCGGCCAUUGAUUGGUGCAAUCAAUCACUGCUACUGUAUGGCAUAAAUAACUGUAGUAUGUAUAUUUACAGUGAAAUUAACGAUACAAUGGUUGAAUCUUUCCAUAUCGGAUGACAUGGUAUCC